rnacentral:lncRNA from 1 species
AAGAUGCUGAAUCAACGUUCGGGUUUAAACCCGCAAGCUGCAUUAUGUUCUCAAUCUCUUUCACAACCUCACCCAUCGAUGGUCUAUUCACUCCUUCCUCCUCCACGCAUCUCAGAGCCAAAUCUACAUACUUCUCAAACCCUUUAAGGUUGCUGCUGCUUGCGAUGAUUGUAGUGUCCAUCAGUUCUUGGAGGUCAUACAAACUUCUGGACUUAUUCAUCUUUGUCUUCACCUCUCUCACCACGUAUUUACCCCUCUCUAUUGGACUUUUACCGGUUAACAGCUCAAGCAUCACCACACCAAACCCAUACACGUCACUCUUCUCGGUCAACUGAUUUGUCAUGUAAUACUCAGGAUCCAAGUAUCCCUAAUUACAAAGAGUACUUUUAUAUUAAAUAUAUAUGAGAAAGAGAGUGAAAUAUUAUGACUGACUUUCUACUCACCAUAGUUCCUUUCACCUGUGUUGUCACAUGUGUUUUCUCAGGGUCUCCCACAAUUUUGGAAAGGCCGAAAUCAGCAACCUUAGCAGUAAGAUUUUCAUCAAGUAAUAUAUUGUUUGAUUUGAUGUCUCUGUGUAUAAUUGGAGGAUCAGCAAGCUCAUGAAGAUAAGCUAGACCCUUCCCUGAACCAAGUGCUAUUUUAAGCCUUCUUGUCCAAUCAAGCCUGAUCCCACUCUUACCUGCAUUAUUACAAUAUUCAGCAUCCAAAAACUAGUAUAAAUUCCGCAACGAAAGAGGUUUGGUAUAUAACCUGAUAGACUGUCUCUAAGAGAUCCAUUUGGAAUGUACUCGUACACCAGCAUUUGUUCACUUCUAUCGAAACAGAAGCCCAAGAGUCUGACAACAUUCUUAUGGUGGACUCUGGAAAGAAGUUCAAUCUCAGUUUUGAACUCCAAGCCUCCUUGCAAUGAUCCUUGUUGAGCCCUUUUGAUGGCUAUGAGUUGUCCAGAGGGAAGAAUCCCUCUGUAAACCUGUUUCACCAUCAGAAUUUCAACGAAGGCCAUUUAUGUAUCAUUUGAAUUGAUUCCAUUGCAAAGACACAAACCUUGCCAUAACCUCCACCCCCAACAUCAUUUGCCUCUGAGAAGUUUUCUGUACAUUUCUUCAACUCUUCAAAAGUAAAAGCUUUUGCUCCCAUUAGCUGCGGAGCAUCGAUACUGCUCUUACUUGUAUUCCACUUGGCUGAAACAUACAAAAUGAAGAUGUAAGCAUUUUAAGUCUUAAGGGACAAAUCUUUUGUAGUAAACCUUUACCAAAAGGAUUGUUCUGAUCAGUUGCUCUGUCUGCUCUCUUUCUUUGCCUGAGAGCGUAAACCCCAGCUAAAGUUAACAACAACAGAAGAACCACAGCGCCAACUGCUGCUCCGAUUAUAAUGCCCAUGUUUGAUGAGCUGGAACCUCCUGCAUCUGUGGCAAAAAAUAACUGAGCCAUACUGAUCAAUACAGAUUCUGUUUGACUGCGUGUGUUGAUCAUACCAGAGAAUUGAUUGUAAGGAUUGGCUCUGAAUACGUAAGGGCCAAAUAUAUGAGGAGGUUUAUAAGUCUGAUUGCUAAAGGCAAAAUUAACAAGUGACAUUCCACUCUCAUUAAAACUCUCUCGGCCCAAUGGAAAGACUAAGAGAUCUAUUAGAAGCUGAUGAUCGGUAGCGUUCUCUCUUAUGUUUCUGAUGGCUACAGAGUCCACAGGAUAACUCAAUUUCUUAAAGAAAUCUUCUAUAGACUUCUGGAGAAUUUCGAAGUUGGUGGAGUUGAGCAACCCUGAGAAGGAAGGAGAUCUGAAGUAGAGUGUUCCUAUGACUGGAUGUGCGCAGCGGCACGAGGGACUUGCUUCCCUGCCCUGAUCACACGGAGUGCAUGUUGGUGGGAUUGUAGAAUAUGAGGUAUUGGGUGGGAUUUCUGAGCAGUAAUUUGGCUUGUUACCCUCUUCCUGGCACACUGGAUUAUCUGCCAAUCUGUAGAUAUAAAAACACACAUAAGCAAACUAUUAUUAAGAAGAAAAUAAAAUUCAUUUGUGACCAGGAUACAUACAUUACUUGGAUGACUGUGUUAGAAGAUGGUUGUUUAUAGACAUCUAUGUUGUUGUAUUGUAAAUCAACAAACUCCAACUGGUUGCUAAAUCUGGUACCGAAGUCUAACGUUGAAUCUAUCUGAUUUCUCUUUAGGAUACUGCAAGUCAAUAAAGCACAAUUAGUACUUAUCUCAUAACAUUAGUUUAUUUCCUGUUUCAUGUAUUGUUUGACUUACACAGUCUGCAACUGAGCAGGGCUGAAAAAUGAGUUUGGUAUCGAACCAUUGAGUUUGAUUCCUUCCAUCCUUCUGAAAAGGAGAAGACCUUUUGUUCUUACACAUGGAGAUCAAGAAGAAGAAAGGAGAUAAGGGAAAUUCUCAUACAAUGUUGCCAGAGAGUCUAAUGAAGAGAUCCAUGAUGGAAUAGGUGAGGGUUCAAAAGUGUUAUUGCUCACAUCUCUGUUACAAAAAAAAACAAGCACAUAUAGCAUUAGAUUGAUGGAUAAUAUAUGAAGGCUUGAUAAUAGUAGUAAUGGUAAACAGAGCGUCAAAAGAGGAGAUAUAUAUAUUUUUUAAACUUACAAUGUGUAGAGACUGGUCAAGCUGGUUAGAUUUGGAAGAGUGCCAGUAAAUUCGUUGUUCGCCAAGUACCUGAAAUGAAUUCAACUCAAACUCUCUACCAUUUUCUUUAUAUAUCUACAAAGAACUUUAGUUGUUUACUUACAGUUCUUGAAGACUUGUGAGAUUAUUAAGACUUGUAGGAAUAUUGCCCGUUAGUUUAUUCCUAUCAAGGCGUCUGUAAUGGAGAGUAAAACAUAGUAUGAUAAUAAACAAUUUGGAAUAAUUUUUUUUAACAAAGCGUUACUGCUUACAACACUGUCAACGUUUGAACCAGGCUGAGUGUGUCCGGGAUUUUGCCCGUGAAUUGGUUUCCAUCGAAUAGCCUAUGGAUAAAAAAACAAAAAAUGUAGUCAUGUUGUUAGUUACAAGUCUCAAAUUGUACAAACUCUGAACUUUCAUAAGUAUUAUGAAGCUUACACAUGUAUCAAAGUCAUGUUUGAACUGAAAAGGUUUUCUGGGAUAGAGCCCGAAAGCUUGUUUUUUCCAAAAUGGCUGGAGAAAGUGAAGGACAGUAAGACUAAUUAGUAUACUGAGUGAUUACAACCCAAAAAAUUAAAAGAUAGAAAGAGUUAGGAUUAUAUAUACAAAUGCUUAGUUUCAAGAAGCAUAUCAAGUCCAGGUGAAGAAGUCCCAUUAGAAACUGGAAGCGUUCCUUCAAUCUGAUUGUCAGCUAUAUCAAACCAAUAUAGUUUCGAUAACCGUCCAAUGGAAGCCGGAAUUGUACCACUGAAUUGAUUUAAAUUUAGGGAGCUGUAUUUAGGAAACACACAAAUUAAUACUGAUGGAUUUAGAGAGGCUUGAGCGCGAACAUUGAAAAAGAGUCAAACAAAAUCUUACAGAUAUAUAAGUUGUUCUAAUUGUCCAAUAGACUGAGGGAUUUGACCAGUGAAACUACAUCCCACAAGGAUCCUGGAGAGUAAAAAUGAGUUAGCCAAAAUAGGAAAUAAGACAAGGAGAUAUAUAAACUUGUGAUACAGAUCCAAAGAUCAUGUUUUCCUACAAGUUCUUCAACUUCUUAAGUUCACCAAUAUUUGGUGGAAGUGGUCCAGUCAAUCCGGUGUUGUAUGACAAAUCCCUACAAAUAUUAUAUCAUAAGAUGAAAAAAAAAAUCCAUUUAUAUGUAAGGAAAGAACAGAAAGAAGAAGAAAGAACAGAAAAAAAGAAGAAAGACAUACAAGAUCUGCAAUUCAGACAAGGCUGCAAUAUCCCCAGAAAGCUUUCCUUCCACGUUGAGGUUACCUAGUGAUCUGCAGCAAGCAACAACACUGUUAAUAAUCUGCACAGAGGGUUAUUGGAAGAAGCAGAAACAAAUUACAAAUAACAAACAUGUCAAUACAUUGAAACGACCCGGUUAUUGCUACAUGUAAUUCCAACCCAACUGGUUCCACAAGGAUCAGCGCCUUCCCAGUUACUAGGAGGCUUGGUCCAUUCAGCCUUCAGGGCUUGUAAAGCAGAACCUGCACCAAAAUUUCAAACUAGUUCAGAAUUUUUUAAAAAUUUUGUAUCUAGAAACAGUGAUCAGCAUCUAUUUGAUUAUACUUACCGUCAAAACCAUUUGUGAGAGCGGAGACAGACAAAAUUUGGAAGAAAAGAAAGAUCAGGAGCAUAAAGGCUCCAAUUCUUGAACUCAUCUUCAAUCCGUCAGUGUAACUCUUUUCUGUUCCUACUUCUUCUAAUCCGUCAAUGUAACACAACUUAUGAAAGACUGUAAUGUUUACAAAAGGAGGACUUCGAACAAUUUAAUUAAAAAUAUAGGGUGUGGACCAUAAAAAACUUAGUCAACUUGAAAUAGCCGAUAAUGGGAUUUUAAAAGGUUUCAAUUCAGUAGGGUUAUGGGUAGGAACAAAUCAUGAACAAUACAUUAAAGAAAAGAUAUGAGUUGUCGUGAUGCACCUUUUGUGGGACCUCUUUAUAUCUACUUUACUUAAUACACUCAAUUAUUGAUUUCAAAAUUAAAUAUCUCCAAACGUAUUAUUUGUUAGCCCAAAACGCAUUACUAUCUUCGUGAUCAUUUUAUCAGAACAGAGUAAUAGGGUCGCGUGAAACAUUCAUACCCUCUAAACCGCAACCUCUAAACCGCAAAAAAUAAUUUCAAUCUUUUAUAGCAGAAAACUUUACUAAAAAAUAAGUCAAAUUAAUUCAGUUAUUGUUAGAAUAACUCAUAAAAAUUUAAAAUUACUAAAUUAUUUUUAUAGUCGAAAAUGCUCUUUUUACAGUUGUGACAAAAAUUUAUAUUACAAAAAUACCAUUUAAAUUUUAGGAAAAAUCACCGUUUGGCAGAUUUAUUUAACAAAAAAAAAACAAAUCUAUCGUGAUAUAAAUUUUGUUAUUUAAACAUGUUGUUAAAUUCACAUCUGUCGUGUAUUUGGUGGCAGACUUCAGAGUCACAUCAGAUUAUUUUGAGGCGGUUGAUAUAUUUGUCUGAUUUAAUGUUGUCAACAGAUUUAUUUGUUUUAGUCUGUCGAAUGAAGUGGCCGAUUUUUUAAAAUUGCCAGUUUUAUUUUGUAUUGGUUAGAUUUUUAAGUCCGAUUUAAAAAUAGGUACAACCGACUUUUAAUGGGUAAUAGACAUAAAUUUUUAUGACAGAUAUGUUUAUCCAAUUAAAUUUCUAAUCGACUUUUAUAUUCAUUUGGUGGCAGAUUUUUUAAAUUACCAUCUUUGAUGGUAGACUUUUAACUUAAAUUUUAAUUACCAUAUUAGUACACACUUAUUGUAGCAGACUUAUCCACUCGAAUUUCUAGUUAAGUUCACAAAAAUUUCGGUUUAGUUUAAAUUAGUUCAGGUUUAGAUUAAUUUUGGUUUUGGUUUUAAAUAAUUUUGAAAUUUGGUUUAAAUCAAUUUGUUCCCGGUUUAAAUUAAUUUGUUGGAGAUAAAAAGCGGCCAAGGAAAGAAAACACAUGUAAAACUUGUAACCAGGCGGAGCAUAAUUCUAAAACAUGUCCUCUUAAAUGAUGAGUAUUCGAUCUAGACAUCUAGUUUCAGGCUUUGGUCAUUAGAUUUCAUUUACGUUGGUGCUACAUUCGGUGGUAUACUCUUUGGUGUUCCAUUACGUUUACACUUUGGUCUUUGGUGUUAUGUUACUUUUCAUUUACUUUGGUCUUUCAUUGAAGUAUUAAGUCGGUUACAAAAUAUAUGAAAAUAACACAAUCGAUCAUUGGGGUUCGAGCUUUGAAGCUGGGAAAUUCCCACUGUACUCAAACGAAUCCUUUCCAUAAGGAUCACCGGAUCCUUUGAUAGCUUCCUCGUACGUUCUCGAAGAAGAUGCUGAAUCAACGUUCGGGUUUAAACCCGCAAGCUGCAUUAUGUUCUCAAUCUCUUUCACAACCUCACCCAUCGAUGGUCUAUUCACUCCUUCCUCCUCCACGCAUCUCAGAGCCAAAUCUACAUACUUCUCAAACCCUUUAAGGUUGCUGCUGCUUGCGAUGAUUGUAGUGUCCAUCAGUUCUUGGAGGUCAUACAAACUUCUGGACUUAUUCAUCUUUGUCUUCACCUCUCUCACCACGUAUUUACCCCUCUCUAUUGGACUUUUACCGGUUAACAGCUCAAGCAUCACCACACCAAACCCAUACACGUCACUCUUCUCGGUCAACUGAUUUGUCA